rnacentral:rRNA from 1 species
AAUAGGCUUGCUAGCUGAUUGUAUAUAUAUGCUGGCCGUAUUUCAUAGCAAGCUCGCUUUAAUAGGCAACCAGUAAUAUGAGCAAUUCUUUACCUACAAGCCUAUAAUAUAUUAACUCUAAGAGAAAUCUAAUAAUAAACGGAGUGAAUUGAAAUAUCUUAUUAACUUCAGGAAAAGAAAUCAAAAGAGAUUCUAUGAUUAGCGUGAGCUAAAAUAGAGUAGCCUAGAAAGUCAAAUGGUGGAUAAACUGUUUAAAUUUAAUGGGGAACCUUCCUCAAAGGCUAAAUAUAAUAUGUAAGCGAUAGUGGAAAGUACCGUGAGGGAACCAAAACAAAAACAGUGAUUUUAUAAGCAGUUCGGAAAAAUAAAAAGUUAGAACGUACCUUUUGCAUAAUGGGUCACCAAGUUAACAUUAGAUGCGAGAUUCUACGUAGUUAAACCGAGCGUUAAAAUAACGGUAAGUGUCUAAAGUUAGACCCGAAGCCUGGUGAUUUUACCAUAAUCAGGAUUAUAAAAGUCCGAACGGAAUAUUGUAGCAUAAAUAUCCGAAGAAUUAUGGUAGGUGUAGUGAAAGACAAUACUGACCAGGAUAGCUGGUUUUCUGCGAAACCUAUAACAGUAGGCAAUUUAAGUAUAAUAUCUUAGCAGGUACAGAAUUUAAUCUCAGACAAGACAUAAGGCUUAACUUGUUAACAAGUUAAGCCCAUGUUUUUAUUUUGUACAAAUUGGGGGAUCAUGAAGAUUUUAUCAGUGAGUAUGUAGACUCGGAAUGGCAAAGAUAUAUCUUAAAUCAUCAGACAUAGAAUGAUAAGGUUGUAUGUCAAAAGGGAAACAGCCCAGAACAAGAGUUAAGGUUCCUAAAUUAUUAGUUGAGUGAAAUUAAGAAGGUUUUUAUUAAAGUCGACAAGGAGAUAGGCUUAGAAGCAGCCAUAAUUUUAUGACCUCGUAACAGAGCGCUUGUUAAGUUUUAAAAGCAUCGAAAAUUUAUCGGAUCUAAACAAUAUACCGAAACCUUGUCCAUAUUAUUUUAUAAUUAAUAGUCUCAGCAAGCUCGGACUAUACAAUUAUAAUUAAAUGGGGUAGCAGAACGUUGAGCUAAAUUAAGAUUUUUAUUUUUUAAAUGAAAUUAUAAUAAUUUAACUCAAGUGAUAAUGGUGACAUGAGUAACUAAAAGAAAAUUUUCCGCCUAAAGCUUAUGGAUGUAAUUAAGUAACGGCCUCUAAGUUUAUGGAAUCAAAAGAUUAAAACGAUGAGACAAUCUUUCAUACUAAGGACGACAUUUUAAGUGCAAAAUGUACUGGAAAAAUAGUAAUAAGUUUAAGCUAUGGCUAGAACUAGCUAUAGCUGUAAAUGGAAAGUAACCGUACCUAGAAUCUGAAACAAGUAAGCUAGUAGAGAAUACGAAGGCGUAAAUGAGCUAACAAUCAUAAAGGAACUCGGCAAAUUGACUACCGUAACUUCGGGAUAAGGAGAGCUCAUUAUUCUUGAUUAAUAUCAGGUAAAGAGGAAGAAGCAUGAAAUAGUGUUGUACGACUGUUUAAUUAAAACACAGCACUUUGCUGAAAGAUUAAAAAUCUAAGUAUAGAGUGUGAUGUCUGCCCGGUGCCGGCUGGUUAACAGAUAUAAUUAAAUAUACUAAUAUUUGAUGUAGACGGAAACCCCGGUUAAAGGCGGCCUUAACGUGAGGGUCCUAAGGUAGCGAAAUGCCUUGGCCGUUAAAUGCGGUCUUGCAUGAAUGAUGUAACGAUACAACAGCUGUCUCUAUGAUUGACUCAGUGAAAUUGGAAUAGCUGUGCAGAUACAGUUUACCUCUAGUUAGACGAGAAGACCCUAUGCAGCUUUACUGUCACUAAUUAUAGAGUAUGAUAAACAAUUUUCAGUUUAUAAGGUAAUUGACGGCCGGCUUGCUUAGCAAGCUGGCUCUAUGACAAUGAGAAUCCUUUAUUUUUUUUUCAUAUGAAUGAAUUGGUUUAGGACGAGCUUAAGCUCGUAGUAAAUCAACCUAAUUCAGCUUAUUUUCCUUUCUGCUGUAAGCGCAUAAUGAUAGAUUAUACUUAAAUUUGGAUUUAUGCCUGCAGAAAUAGAUAAGUACCCUUGGUUAAGGAACUAUCGCUAGGGGACAGUUUAUGUGGGGCACAGACCCUGUAAAGAGUAAACAGGAGUGUCUAAUAAUUUAUAAUUAUUUUGUUUGCGAUUUAAGGUAGUAGAACUAUUUUUAAUCAUAUAAAAUUAUUUAUAUGUACAUUCGUUGUAUAUAUAUUUAAAAAAAGGUAGGAUUUUCACUAUAUAGAAAUUAGAGAUAAUAAAAAUAUUAAGUAGUAGCUGCUGAGUCCUAAUCCCGCCGAAGGGGGGAUAUGGACUACUAUGUAUUUCAUAGCAAGCUCGCACUAAUAUUUUUUAACUAUUAAGACUGGCUAUCUAGCUAUGCUCUAAUAGUUAUGUUUUAAUUAUCUAAAAAGCUCAACGGCUAAAUCUUGCCUUACUGUUUGAUUAUCAACAAAUCUUACAGUUGCGUAAGCAGGGCAUAGGAUCACAAGAUGCAACAAGGAAAGAUCUUGGAUUAUUGGAAAAGCUACGCUAGGGAUGUUUGUCCUUUAAUAUUUUAUUUCACUGUGGUAUGGGUCAU